GACGAACGCUGGCGGCGUGCUUAACACAUGCAAGUCGAACGGUGAAGGGACCAGCUUGCUGGUUCUGGAUGAGUGGCGAACGGGUGAGUAACACGUGAGUAACCUGCCCCCUUCUUCUGGAUAACCGCAUGAAAGUGUGGCUAAUACGGGAUAUUCUGGGUCUGUCGCAUGGCGGGCCCGGGAAAGAUAUUGCUUCGGUGGGGGAUGGGCUCGCGGCCUAUCAGCUUGUUGGUGGGGUGAUGGCCUACCAAGGCGGUGACGGGUAGCCGGCCUGAGAGGGUGGACGGUCACACUGGGACUGAGACACGGCCCAGACUCCUACGGGAGGCAGCAGUGGGGAAUAGUGCACAAUGGGCGCAAGCCUGAUGCAGCGACGCCGCGUGAGGGAUGGAGGCCUUCGGGUUGUAAACCUCUUUCGCCAGUGAAGCAGGCCUGCUCCUUGUGGGUGGGUUGACGGUAGCUGGAUAAGAAGCGCCGGCUAACUACGUG
rnacentral:rRNA from 1 species